GCUCGCGUAUGCGCUGGGCGCAUUGCGCGCCGGCCUCACCGGCCGGCCCAUCGCCGUGCGGGUCGAGGACGCGAGCG
rnacentral:tRNA from 1 species